rnacentral:hammerhead_ribozyme from 1 species
GCAUUGCUGAUGAGACCCAAACAGGUCGAAGUAGCUACUGUCCAAUGU